rnacentral:lncRNA from 1 species
GCAGCAAAAGCUUUAGGAACAACCAACUUUGACCUGCCAGCUAGUCUGAGAACUGUUCUCUCAGCUAAAGAAAGAAGCCAUGGAGCAGAUGUACCACCUAAUGGUGUAAAGUCUGAGAAAUCAUGAAUGUGGUCUCCAGACAAUGAUGAAGAAAAUCUGUUGCUGUCGGAAAGGUUAACAGAAGAUGGAACCAAAAAUCCCAGUGAAAAAUCUUCCCAGCAGAAAAACAUAGCUUUUAGCUCUAAUAAUUCUGUAGCAAAGCCAGUACAGAAGACAGCUAAAGCUGCUGCUGAAGAGACCUCUUCAGGAUCACCAAAAAUAGAUAAGAAAAAAAGUCCCUAUGGACUAUGGGUACCUAUCUAAAAGAAGAAAACUAAGAUAUGAAAGCCCAAAAUGGACCAGAGUUUACAUACAGGUGGGAGUCUUUGUAAAUACCUGUAAAUAUUGUAUAAUAUCAGUUGGUUAUACAGAAAUUUGUAAGGCAAACACAGUGAUUGAACUGUGUUUGUGUUUUUGUAUAUUUGUUAAUAAAUUACUUAUUUUUAUUGUCUUGUCUUUAUUAUG